CUGGCGGCGUGCCUAACACAUGCAAGUCGAACGGACGAAGGGAGCUUGCUCCCUGAGUUAGUGGCGAACGGGUGAGUAACGCGUGAGCAACCUGCCUUUCAGAGGGGGACAACGGUUGGAAACGACCGCUAAUACCGCAUGAAACAGUCGGACCGCAUAAUCUGACUGUCAAAGAUUUAUCGCUGAAAGAUGGGCUCGCGUCUGAUUAGAUAGUUGGUGGGGUAACGGCCUACCAAGUCGACGAUCAGUAGCCGGACUGAGAGGUUGAACGGCCACAUUGGGACUGAGAUACGGCCCAGACUCCUACGGGAGGCAGCAGUGGGGAAUAUUGGGCAAAUGGGGGGAACCCUGACCCAGCAACGCCGCGUGAAGGAAGAAGGCUUUCGGGUUGUAAACUUCUUUUACCGAGGACGAAGAACGUGACGGUACUCGGAGAAAAAGCCACGGCUAACUACGUGCCAGCAGCGGC
rnacentral:rRNA from 1 species